rnacentral:rRNA from 1 species
CUCUACCAACAUGCUACCCUGAACAUGCCUGGUCUUGUCUGAACUCUGACACUAAGCAGAGCUAGGCCUGGCUGAUA